AGGGCACCACCAGGAGUGGAGCCUGCGGCUUAAUUUGACUCAACACGGGAAAACUCACCCGGCCCGGACACUGGAAGGAUUGACAGAUUGAGAGCUCUUUCUUGAUUCAGUGGGUGGUGGUGCAUGGCCGUUCUUAGUUGGUGGAGUGAUUUGUCUGGUUAAUUCCGAUAACGAACGAGACUCUAGCCUACUAAAUAGAUCGUCGGCUUACAAACGCCGGCGAGACUUCUUAGAGGGACAGGCGGUGAUUCAACCGCACGAAACAGAGCAAUAACAGGUCUGUGAUGCCCUUAGAUGUCCGGGGCCGCACGCGCGCUACACUGAAGUGAUCAGCGUGCAUUUGUUCUCGCUCCGUGAGGAGCGAGUGACCCAAGGAACCUUCUUCGUGAUAGGGAUUGGGCAUUGUAAUUAUUGCCCAUGAACGAGGAAUUCCCAGUAAGCGCGAGUCAUUAGCUUGCGUUGAUUACGUCCCUGCCCUUUGUACACACCGCCCGUCGCUACUACCGAUUGAAUGAUAGA
rnacentral:rRNA from 1 species